UCCUACGGGACGCAGCAGUAGGGGAUCUUCCACAAUGGACGAAAGUCUGAUGGAGCAACGCCGCGUGAGUGAAGAAGGGUUUCGGCUCGUAAAGCUCUGAUGGUAGUGAAGGAAGAUAGAGGUAGUAACUGGCCUUUAUUUGACGGUAAUUACUUAGAAAGUCACGGCUAACUACGUGCCAGCAGCCGCGGUAAUACGUAGGUGGCAAGCGUUGUCCGGAUUUUUUUGGCGUAAACCGAGUGCCGGCGG
rnacentral:rRNA from 1 species